CCAGACUCCUACGGGAGGCAGCAGUGAGGAAUAUUGGUCAAUGGUCGGGAGACUGAACCAGCCAAGCCGCGUGAGGGAGGAAGGUACAGAGUAUCGUAAACCUCUUUUGUCAGGGAACAAAGGCGGGGACGUGUCCCCGGAUGAGUGUACCUGAAGAAAAGGCAUCGGCUAACUCCGUGCCAGCAGCCGCGGUAAUACGGAGGAUGCGAGCGUUAUCCGGAUUUAUUGGGUUUAAAGGGUGCGCAGGCGGGUUAUUAAGCCCGCGGAGAACCCCGGGGGCCCACCCCCGGCCCGCCGUUGAAACUGGCAGUCUCGAGUUGGAGAGAAGUAUGCGGAAUGCGUGGUGUAGCGGUGAAAUGCAUAGAUAUCACGCAGAACUCCGAUUGCGAAGGCAGCAUACCGGCGCCCAACUGACGCUGAAGCACGAAAGCGUGGGUAUCGAACAGGAUUAGAUACCCUGGUAA
rnacentral:rRNA from 1 species